AAUCAACGCUGGCGGCGUGCCUCAGACAUGCAAGUCGAACGAUUAAAGCUCUCUUCGGAGAGUGCAUGGAGUGGCGCACGGGUGAGUAACACGUAAGUAAUCUACCCUCGAGUGGGGAAUAACGUCCGGAAACGGGCGCUAAUACCGCAUAAUGCAGCGGCAUCAUAAGAUGACAGUUGUUAAAGAUUUAUCGCUUGAGGAGGAGCUUGCGGCAGAUUAGCUAGUUGGUAAGGUAACGGCUUACCAAGGCUACGAUCUGUAACCGGUCUUAGAGGACGGUCGGUCACACUGACACUGAAUAACGGGUCAGACUCCUACGGGAGGCAGCAGUCGGGAAUUUUGGGCAAUGGGGGAAAGCCUGACCCAGCAACGCCGCGUGAAGGAUGAAGUAUUUCGGUAUGUAAACUUCGAAAGAAUAGGAAGAAUUAAUGACGGUACUAUUUAUAAGGUCCGGCUAACUACGUGCCAGCCGCCGCAGUAACAC
rnacentral:rRNA from 1 species